AUUGAACGCUGGCGGCAUGCCUUACACAUGCAAGUCGAACGGCAGCACGGGGGCAACCCUGGUGGCGAGUGGCGAACGGGUGAGUAAUGCAUCGGAACGUGCCCAGUAGUGGGGGAUAACCAGUCGAAAGGCUGGCUAAUACCGCAUACGACCUACGGGUGAAAGCGAGGGACCGUACGGCCUCGCGCUAUUGGAGCGGCCGAUGUCUGAUUAGCUAGUUGGCGGGGUAAGAGCCCACCAAGGCGACGAUCAGUAGCUGGUCUGAGAGGACGACCAGCCACACUGGGACUGAGACACGGCCCAGACUCCUACGGGAGGCAGCAGUGGGGAAUUUUGGACAAUGGGCGCAAGCCUGAUCCAGCCAUGCCGCGUGCGGGAAGAAGGCCUUCGGGUUGUAAACCGCUUUUGGCAGGAACGAAACGGCGCAAGCCAAUACCUUGCGCUAAUGACGGUACCUGCAGAAUAAGCACCGGCUAACUACGUGCCAGCCGCCGCCGUAAAAC
rnacentral:rRNA from 1 species